CCUUCUGGAGUCAUUCCAGGUGUGACUUCUGUGUCAUAUGUGUGUCAGUAGGUGUCAGAGAAGAGAGAGACUAUGUCUCUGGUUAGUAUUUUGACCUAUGAACAUGUGAAUGAUUAGUAGCCUAACAUU